GGUUCAGUGGUGUAGUUGGUUAUCACGUCUGUCUCACAUUCGACGGUUCGUAGUCUCCGAACGUGUGCACAGGAGGUCUCCGGUUCGAACCCGGACUGAACCA